GAUUCCUCAUCUGUAUGUUGCACAAAAUGGGCUUUGACAGAGAAAAUGUAUAUGAAGAAUUGAGACAGUGCGUACGGAAUGCUCCCCAGUUUAGAUUUGACUGGUUUAUCAAGUCGAGAACUGCCAUGGAAUUUCAGAGACGCUGUAAUACUUUGAUUUCAUUGAUUGAAAAAGAAAAUAUGGAAAUUGAGGAAAGAGAGAGAGCAGAAAAGAAGAAACGGGCAACUAAAACUCCAAUGUCACAGAAAAGAAAAGCAGAGUCAGCUACUGAGAGCUCUGGAAAGAAGGAUGUCAAGAAGGUGAAAUCCUAAAGCCUAGAAAUAAAGUUUUAAAUGGGAAACUGCUAUUUUCUUGUUCCCAUCUUCAAAUGCUAAUUACCAGUUCCAGUGUAUUGAUGGUACUCUAAGGAAAAAAACUGAAAUACUCUUUGGUUUUGAUUUCUUGCAUAUUUUAUAUAUUUUACAAUGCUUUCUACCUGAAAUGUGUAGCUUUCUAUUUCAUGCAUCUAGUAUUUUGUGUACUGUAUUUUGUGCAUUUCGUGUCUUCAUCAAAUUCCUCUCAGUCCUUG
rnacentral:lncRNA from 1 species